GAUGAACGCUGGCGGCGUGCCUAAUACAUGCAAGUCGAGCGAACGGACGAGACGCUUGCUUUUCUGAUGUUAGCGGCGGACGGGUGAGUAACACGUGGAUCACCUACUUAUAAGACUGGGAUAACUUCGGGAAACCGGAGCUAAUCCCGGAUAAUAUUUUGAACCGCAUGGUUCAAAAGUGAAAGACGGUCUUGCUGUCACUUCUAGAUGGAUCUGGGCUGCAUUAGGUAGUUGGUAAGGUAACGGAUUUCCAGGGGAACGAUGCAUAGCCGACCUGAGAGGCUGAUCGGCCACACUGGAACGGGGACACGGUCCAUACGCCUACGGGAGGCAGCAGUAGGGAAUCUUCCGCAAAGGGCGAAAGCCUUACGGAGCAACGCCGCGUGAGUGAUGAAGGUCUUCGGAUCGUAAAACUCUGUUAUUAGGUAAGAACAUAUUUGUAAUUAACUGUGCACAUCUUGACGGUACCUAAUCAGAAAGCCACGGCUAACUACGUG
rnacentral:rRNA from 1 species